GAUGAAAGACAACAACUCCCAGAAUCCACUUGCUUCACUGCCCUAGGAGGCCACGCCUACCGGUAACAGAGCACAGUAGGUAAACAACAGUUUUGGCUACUAAUUGAAUUGAAUUCUUUAUUGUCAUUGUACAAGGUACAACGAAAUUGGAUGACAUUCCUCGCAGUGCUUUAAAAUGAAUAGAAUAUAAUAAAUAAAUAAAAUUAAGUUAAAAAACAUUCACUGUAAUGAAUUGCUGUAAAAAUUACAGGAAUAUUUUACAGCAGCUGGCUGUUUUCUAAUAAUACAGCAUUUUGCUGUAAACUGCAAUGCAUUCUGGGGCCGCGUGGCGGUUUGAUUCAAAAUACAGAAUAUUGCUGUAAAUUUCAAAUCGACACAGAGGCAUUGUGAUCUUCAACGGUCGUGUCGUCGACUUUCGGAUAGCGGCAAGAGGAGUGAUUCUCAACUGGUAAGUGACUUAUUUCAGUUUCUUAUUUUUCAUGUUGUGUUACUCGUAGACUAUGAAGGUAAUGUUAUAUUCGCGGUUCAUAUUGGUUACAGAGGAUCACGCAUCCUCCGUACUGGGCACGAGGGAGACUUGCGCGGGGCUUCAGCAGCCCAGACGCCGUUAGUAUUUCACACAUUCCUCGGGAUCUAUGGGCUCCUAUGUUAAGAAGAAUUACGUGCUUUUCUGACAACAGUCGGUAUUCACACAAGCUUCGUGUUGAUCAGCACACUUCGCCGUGAUUAUUUUAUGGUGUAAAUCAAAUCAAAAUCAAGUAAUCUGUUAAAAUGGGUGCCGAAAUGAAAAAAAAAAAACAGAUUAUGAAUGUUGCUGUGUCGUGACGUUAUGUUUAAUAUUCCGCUGUGAAAAUCCCUUAUAUUUCAGUACGAAUAUAAGCUAUAUAUCCUAUAUAUUUUAGCUAUAACGUUAGCCUAAGUUACUCUCUGUGUGUAAUUUGCUUAUUUGUUUUCAUACUUCCUUUGUUAAUUUUAUUUAAAAGAAAGAGUUCCUGCACUAUGAAUACUAAAAUAUAGUUUACAUUUAAAAUGCUGAAACAUAAAAAUGGUAUAGUAAAAAAUAAACUAUUGUCACAUGUGGUAUUGUUUUAGGAGACACUUUGACAAGAGGACACUGGAAGGCCAAGUUGUGUGUGAGGAGAGCAUUCAGCCCAGCUUCCUGUCUGGCCUUGCUACUGUUCACUGCAUAUUAUUACAUAUUCAAUCAGGAGGAGCCAGCCUGCACCUUGGAGUUCAUUUAAAGGAGAGGAACAAAGAAGAAAAUGUUGCCACAUGUUGCCACUCUUCGCUGCAAAGUGGUGUAUUUAGUGGAAUUUCUGAAACCAUCUGGAGCUGAAUUAUUCUCCAUUUUUGAUCAUACGUUUUUUGGACUCACUUGGGGCCUUGUUGUUUGGACAUGUUUGUCUGGGAACGAAGAGGUGACAAUUCAUUCAUGUCUGUUUUUUUUUUUCAGAACCAUUUUAUUAUGAUCAUGUUGGUCAACUUGUCGUUUUAAAUGUCAUUUGCGUAUUUCUUCUUUGUGUGAAGGGCCCUGAUGGCUUAUUUGUUUUAAGUAAUUAAAAAAAUAAUAAUUCCAUGUCCAUUUGUAAAA